GAUGAACGCUGGCGGCGUGCCUAAUACAUGCAAGUCGAACGCAUAGCGAAAGGUGCUUGCACCUUUCAAGUGAGUGGCGAACGGGUGAGUAACACGUGGAUAACCUGCCUCAAGGCUGGGGAUAACAUUUGGAAACAGAUGCUAAUACCGAAUAAAACUUAGUGUCGCAUGACACAAAGUUAAAAGGCGCUUCGGCGUCACCUAGAGAUGGAUCCGCGGUGCAUUAGUUAGUUGGUGGGGUAAAGGCCUACCAAGACAAUGAUGCAUAGCCGAGUUGAGAGACUGAUCGGCCACAUUGGGACUGAGACACGGCCCAAACUCCUACGGGAGGCUGCAGUAGGGAAUCUUCCACAAUGGGCGAAAGCCUGAUGGGGCAACGCCGCGUGUGUGAUGAAGGCUUUCGGGUCGUAAAGCACUGUUGUAUGGGAAGAACAGCUAGAAUAGGAAAUGAUUUUAGUUUGACGGUACCAUACCAGAAAGGGACGGCUAAAUACGUG
rnacentral:rRNA from 1 species